AUUGAACGCUGGCGGCAUGCCUUACACAUGCAAGUCGAACGGCAGCACGGGAGCAAUCCUGGUGGCGAGUGGCGAACGGGUGAGUAAUAUAUCGGAACGUGCCCAGUCGUGGGGAUAACGUAGCGAAAGCUACGCUAAUACCGCAUACGAUCUAUGGAUGAAAGCGGGGGAUCGCAAGACCUCGCGCGAUUGGAGCGGCCGAUAUCAGAUUAGGUAGUUGGUGAGGUAAAGGCUCACCAAGCCGACGAUCUGUAGCUGGUCUGAGAGGACGACCAGCCACACUGGGACUGAGACACGGCCCAGACUCCUACGGGAGGCGAGCAGUGGGGAAUUUUGGGACAAUGGGCGCAAGCCUGAUCCAGCAAUGCCGCGUGCAGGAUGAAGGCC
rnacentral:rRNA from 1 species